rnacentral:rRNA from 1 species
GAUGAACGCUGGCGGCGUGCCUAAUACAUGCAAGUCGAGCGAACAGACGAGGAGCUUGCUCCCCUGACGUUAGCGGCGGACGGGUGAGUAACACGUGGAUAACCUACCUAUAAGACUGGGAUAACUUCGGGAAACCGGAGCUAAUACCGGAUAAUAUAUUGAACCGCAUGGUUCAAUAGUGAAAGACGGUUUUGCUGUCACUUAUAGAUGGAUCCGCGCCGCAUUAGCUAGUUGGUAAGGUAACGGCUUACCAAGGCAACGAUGCGUAGCCGACCUGAGAGGGUGAUCGGCCACACUGGAACUGAGACACGGUCCAGACUCCUACGGGAGGCAGCAGUAGGGAAGCUUCCGCAAUGGGCGAAAGCCUGACGGAGCAACGCCGCGUGAGUGAUGAAGGUCUUCGGAUCGUAAAACUCUGUUAUUAGGGAAGAACAAAUGUGUAAGUAACUAUGCACGUCUUGACGGUACCUAAUCAGAAAGCCACGGCUAACUACGUG